UACGUAGGGGGCGAGCGUUGUCCGGAGUUACUGGGCGUAAAGGGCAUGCAGGCGGUCCUGCGCGUUUCGAGUGACAGCUGCCAGCUUAACCGGCAGAGGGUUCGAAAGACGGUGGGACUUGAGGGCCAGAGAGGGACAUGGAAUUCCGGGUGGAGCGGUGAAAUGCGUAGAGAUCCGGAGGAACACCGAUGGCGAAGGCAAUCCCCUGGGCCUGCACUGACGCUCAUGCACGAAAGCGUGGGGAGCAAACAGG
rnacentral:rRNA from 1 species